rnacentral:lncRNA from 1 species
UAGUUGUUAAGCGGAGAAGACUAAAUGAGCUAAUUGGGGUUAGAUGCUUAGCACGACACCUGCCAUCUAGGACAUGUGCCUUCAACAGAAACUAGCAGCCAGAAGUGGUGGUGAUAAUGUGCGGCCAUCUCAGCCAGCACCAAAGUGAGAGGCCAAAGGUUCAGAAAACUGUUCAGGAGGAUGCAUGUAGGCACACCCCCCAGAGCGAACCACUUUCUGGAGUCCUCAGCGCACUAGCUUCACCCCAGGGCUUUCCUAGGGGAUACUAAAGACACUGCGGGACUCCUGGGAUCUGCAGCUGUGACCCUCUCCCCAACUAGGCCCCCACCUCAGUGGAAGCAAAGGUAGUUUCCCAAAGGGCUAACAGGGUAAGUGACAUUCUAUCACAAGGUGUGGGUCCCAAAACCAUUAGUGCAUCAUCCCAUGUAUGAAGGCUAGAUGAGGGUGUUCUGGAAAACAACCGAAUUGCUGUUCAUCCAUACUUAGUCUUUAUAUUUUAAUAGGAGGCAAAGCCCUGAGUCCAGAGAAACUCUAUUAAUGUAGGCUUUCAGGCAGUUUGGAUACAAAGAAAUUACCCUUGAUUGAGAGAAGAGGGGCGUUGGGAGCCACACCACCAAGAUGGUGCAAGGGGCAUUGGUCAUGCAGCUGGCCAACAUCAGAGCCCACUAGAGGACCCUCUUGCUGCCAGGGACCAGGGAAAGUGGGCGUCUGAAUCUGGAGCUGUCAUCACAAAAUAGAAAGGUGGUGAAGAAUUCAUUCCAGCCCUGCCCAUGGCAGUCACAGCCACUUUCAGAGGAGCAGCACCAGAUGUGGGGUGCGGCACUCUAUGGUGGGGGCAGUGGGAGCUCAGUCACCAGGGUUUGGCAGCAUCCCCGGUGGCAUCCACUGAGUAGGGUGUAGUUUCCAGGAACCAGAGCAUGCGAUUCUCAAGGCUUUGGGUUUUACCCAUGGGUCAAGCUGCAGCUGCCCCCAGAGAAUGACAGUGAUUCUCCUUCUUCGCCUCCCAAUUCUCCCAGCAGUGCCUCUCAUUGGCUGACUCUAAUGUGAAGCUGUACAGGGAAAGGGAUUCUGGGAAAUGCAGUUCCAGGCUUCUCCCCUGAGAUGCAGACUGUAGAAGUGUGUGACCAUGAUGCUAAGGACAACAUUCAGCAAAGCCACAAACCAGGAAGAGCAGAGAGAUUUUAUCUGAAGGGCCAGCUCCUGGUUCAUUGGUAAUGGCUGACCAGAGUACUGUGUGGAAAAUAAUUUUGAGGCUGUAUAUAGGAUGAGCAGGAAAAGGUGGUACGACUGAUUAGCAAUGCCUGUCAUGGGUGUGGAAUUAAUGUGAGGAAUCGUAUGCAACACACUUGCACUCCUGCUCUAAACUGAUGAUUGGAAAGUUCUCUAAAGUGACUGCUAACAGCGUUUAUUUCUUUUGUCCCUGAGUCAAACAUAUACGUUGUAACCAUCUAUGUGUGGAGUUAACACCCAUAAACCUGGUGCUCAAGAGGGACCUCAGAAUUAGAGCAGCUAAUGAAAAACAGGGCAGGAACAUUGAGGAAGCCGUGGGGGUCUCCAGCCUCCUGGAACUCUGCUCUUCACAGUCCACACAGUCACGUUCCUCAAGGUCAUCAUGUGGUCAGCUCUUUCAUAACCACCCCCAAUCCCCUGUCCUUAUCUCAUUUCACUUCUAAGCUUCCAGGCCCAGCUCCUCCAGGCCUACCACGUGAUCUUAGAGAAGCCUUCCCCCACCCCAUCUCCAGUUAAUUACUUCCCCUCUCUGUACCUUGGUUUCCUCAUGGGCAUAUUUAGGAGUUGGGUUAGAUCCAUGGUUUGCAGACUGUGUGCCCAGGAGCCCUGGGGUGUUCAGGAGGAGGAAGGUUAGAGGAAUGCCAAGGCAUAGGGCUUUGAGAGGCAUUAUUUUAUCUGUUUUAGAUAUUGUGCUUUGGCUUAAGAUGUCAUCUGAAAAAAAAGGGAAAAGGGUCUGCUGCUAUAAAUAAAAAUUAAAGGCUCAAGAACCUCUGGAUAAACAAAAGGCCCCCCUGGAGUCCUUCCAGAUAUACCAUUCUCUGGUGCUGCUUGUUUUGUCUCCCUCUAAAACACCAGCUCUUCUUCUCUUUCCACUUCCUUUCCUCAUUUCUUUUCCCAUCCCCUGUCUUCCAAAGAAAUGAGUUGCAAAUCUCCAUCUUAACUUCCAAACUUGAGUUGAGAACCAAACAUGAAGCCUGGAUCUUUUCAUUAUGAGAGGCUCUGAGGUCAUGGAAAGGAGAAGGGGACGAUAAAGCCAAGACGGAGUCUUGCUCUGUCGCCCUGGCUGGAGUCAGUGGUUCAAUCUCGGCUCACUGCAAUCUCCACCUCCCGGGUUGAAGCGAUUCUCCUGCCUCAGCCUCCCGAGUAGCUGGGAUUACAGGUGCCCACCACCACGCCCGGCUAAUUUUCGUAUUUUUAGUAGAGACGGAGUUUCACCAUGUUGGUCUGGCUGGUCUUGAACUCCUGACCUCAGGUGAUCCACGCAUCUCAGUCUCCCAAAGUGCUAGGAUUACAGGCGUGAGCCACCACGCCUGGCGUGUAAUCCUUUUUUAUAAUUGAAAAUCACAUUGAACCAUGGAAAAUGUAGUUUGACAUCCUAGAGUUGAGAGAUAUUCACCCUUUCCCUCCUCUUAACUGUGCAGCGCAAAAUUUCGAGAAAUGAGAACAUGCUGCUUUGAGUUGUUGUUUUUAAUGUCACUGCGAUGACUGGACAGUUUUUAUUAUUGUUGGCAAGAAAAGGCAGGAGGAACCAUUCACAUAGGGUUUUCUGCUCAAAAUGUACUUUGGAGUUCCAUCUUGGGGAAUAGGAACCCUUCUGUUCCUCUUCCCGCUGCAGUUUCACCGAGGUCCCACUGAUGUCAACUCCAGAGGACUAUGACCGUGUCAGCCGUAAAAUAUGUCGGUUCGGGAAGAGGACAAGUUCAUUUUCAUUAUUCCCUGGCGGAGAGAAAGGGCAGAGUUGGUGUGAGGCCUGGGAGGGCGUGUUUGAAGAAUGGUGGCCCGAGUCCACCAUUCCACGCCUGCUCUGCGGGGUCCUCUGGCUGGGGUCUUGCCUGGACGUGGCAGAAACCCGCACCCAACGGCCUUUCUCUGCACAAGUUGGGGCAGGACGGCCAGGCAGACACAGAGCAUGCACAGACCUCGCCUGCUGAUUGGCUGAAUCCUGGGGGCAGCACAUUCUCCCAUUGGCUGUUCCA